GUCCCUGUAGCGCAAAGGAUUGCGCGCUGGACUUCUAAUCCAAAGGUCGUGGGUUCGAAUCCCACCAGGUAUCA
rnacentral:tRNA from 1 species